rnacentral:rRNA from 1 species
UACGUAGGGUGCGAGCGUUGUCCGGAUUUAUUGGGCGUAAAGGGCUCGUAGGCGGCGUGUCGCGUCGGGGAGUGAAAGCCCGUUGCUUAACGGCGGGUUGGCUUUCGGUACGGGCAUGCUGGAGUGCGGCAGGGGAGACUGGAAUUCCUGGUGUAGCGGUGGAAUGCGCAGAUAUCAGGAGGAACACCGGUGGCGAAGGCGGGGUCUCUGGGCCGUUACUGACGCUGGAGGAGC